UACAGAGGUGCCGAGCGUUAGGCGGAAUCGCUGGGCUUAAAGCGCGCGUAGGCGGGCGUCUAAGUGUCUUGUGAAAUCCCACGGCUCAACCGUGGAACUGUUGGGCAUACUGGACGCCUUGAGGCACGCAGGGGCGAGCGGAACAAGUGGUGGAGCGGUGAAAUGCGUAGAUAUCGCUUGGAACGCCGAAGGUGAAAACAGGCUGCUGGGGUUGCGCCGACGCUGAGACACGAAAGCCAGGGGAGCAAACAGG
rnacentral:rRNA from 1 species